ACUCAAAUGAAUUGACGGGGACCCGCACAAGCAGAGGAGCAUGUGGUUUAAUUCGACGGUAAGCGAAAAACCUUACCAAGGUUUGACAUGUAGCUGCAAGCCGCUAGAAACAGUGGCCGCCUUCGAGGGUGCUACACAGGUGCUGCAUGGUUGCCGUCAGCUCGUGUCGUGAGAUGUACCGUUAAGUCGGGUAACGAGCGCAACCCCUAUUCCGUGUUGAUAUUUCACGGGAGACCGCCUCGGAUAACGGGGAGGAAGGUGGGGAUGACGUCAAAUCAGCAUGGCUCUUACACCUUGGGCUACACACGUGCUACAAUGGUUGGGACAAUGGGUUGCCAAGCCGUAAGGCGGAGCUAAUCCCACCAAACCCAACCUCAGUUCGGAUUGAGGGCUGCAAUUCGCCCUCAUGAAGCUGGAUUUGCUAGUAACGGCCGAUCAGCAACGCGGCCGUGAAUACGUUCUCGGGUCUUGUACACACCGCCCGU
rnacentral:rRNA from 1 species